rnacentral:rRNA from 1 species
UACGUAGGGGGCGAGCGUUGUCCGGAUUUAUUGGGCGUAAAGAGCGUGUAGGCGGCCAGGUAGGUCUGCUGUGAAAACUCGAGGCUCAACCUCGAGACGUCGGCGGAAACCAUCUGGCUAGAGUCCGGAAGAGGAGAGUGGAAUUCCUGGUGUAGCGGUGAAAUGCGCAGAUAUCAGGAAGAACACCCGUGGCGAAGGCGGCUCUCUGGGACGGUACUGACGCUGAGGUGCGAAGGCUAGGGGAGCAAACGGG